rnacentral:lncRNA from 1 species
UCCUCUCCUCUUCUCCAAAACACCACACCACCAUACCCACUUUAUAUUUUCUUUUAAUCUUCACUACUCCACAUCAAUUCCUCAUCAAUUUCUCAAGAGAUUUCAAGGAGCAUCAAUAUUUGAGAUUGGGUAAAAGUGGAAAAUCAUAAAUCAAGGCUUGUCAUAAUUGCUCCAUAGCAAUUUGUGACUUGUUCUUGUGACUUCUCACUUCUCUUCACUUUUAUCUCUUUAUUUGAUGUAUUUUGUUGUUGAUUUGUGGAUGGGUUGUGAGUAGUCUAUUUAGGAAGCUAGGGUUUGAGCCCUAGCAUGGAUUUAAUAUGA